GACUGAUGUUGAACACAGAGAAGCAAGC
rnacentral:piRNA from 1 species